AAACAACAUUUACAAAUUUCAAUUGAUGCCAAAGUAUGAAGCAUUAACAGGAUAUGAUAUGAUAUAACACUAUAACAACAUUGCGAAGCAUUUCACACAUUAGCAUAUGAAUUGCAAAUAUGAAGCAUCAUUGCAUCAACAAAAACAACAACUUUGUUUAGAUUUAAAUUUUGAAGUUACCGGUGGUGGUAGCGUCAGAGCGGCGCGGUGGCUGGGCCUUCGCGGAAGAGAGAAAGUUGUUGACGGUGAACUACCGUUGUUUUCCCUUUGAUACUUUCUUUUCUUUUUGACGCAUCAGUCACUACUGUCUCACAAAGAAAAGCCGUUGAAAUAUUU
rnacentral:lncRNA from 1 species